GAGUUUGAUCAUGGCUCAGAUUGAACGCUGGCGGCAGGCCUAACACAUGCAAGUCGAGCGGAUGACGGGAGCUUGCUCCUUGAUUCAGCGGCGGACGGGUGAGUAAUGCCUAGGAAUCUGCCUGGUAGUGGGGGACAACGUUUCGAAAGGAACGCUAAUACCGCAUACGUCCUACGGGAGAAAGCAGGGGACCUUCGGGCCUUGCGCUAUCAGAUGAGCCUAGGUCGGAUUAGCUAGUUGGUGGGGUAAUGGCUCACCAAGGCGACGAUCCGUAACUGGUCUGAGAGGAUGAUCAGUCACACUGGAACUGAGACACGGUCCAGACUCCUACGGGAGGCAGCAGUGGGGAAUUUUGGACAAUGGGGGCAACCCUGAUCCAGCCAUGCCGCGUGAGUGAAGAAGGCC
rnacentral:rRNA from 1 species